AUUGGAUGCGGCUGCGAGACACGGUCAUACUGGAAUUCUCAAGUUAUUAUUGAAGCAUGGUGCUGAUCCGAAUCAGUCCUUUGCCUUGGAUAGUGCGGUGGCAGGAGGCCAUACAGAGAUCGUACAAUUAUUACUGGAUCACGGUGUCAAGGCAGAUAGGCCCCGUAACUUGGAUACAGCGGUGGGAGGAGGCCAUACAGAGAUCGUACAAUUAUUACUGGAUCAUGGUCCCAAGGCAGAUAGGGUAUGUGU